UGUAGUGGAAAACUACCCUUGGCAC
rnacentral:piRNA from 1 species